rnacentral:rRNA from 1 species
CCCCUACGGGAGGCAGCAGUCGAGAAUCAUUCACAAUGGGGGAAACCCUGAUGGUGCGACGCCGCGUGGGGGAAUGAAGGUCUUCGGAUUGUAAACACCUGUCAUGUGGGAGCAAAUUAAAAAGAUAGUACCACAAGAGGAAGAGACGGCUAACUCUGUGCCAGCAGCCGCGGUAAUACAGAGGUCUCAAGCGUUGUUCGGAAUCACUGGGCGUAAUGCGCGCAUAGGCUGUUUCGUAAGUCGUGUGUGAAAGGCGCGGGCUCCACCCGCGGACGGCACAUGAUAAUGC